rnacentral:rRNA from 1 species
UGGGGAAUAUUGCACAAUGGGGGAAACCCUGAUGCAGCGACGCCGCGUGAGUGUAAGAAGUAAUUCGUUAUGUAAAGCUCUAUCGGCAGAGAAGAAAAUGACGGUACCUGACUAAGAAGCCCCGGCUAACUACGUGCCAGCAGCCGCGGUAAUACGUAGGUGGCAAGCGUUGUCCGGAAUUACUGGGUGUAAAGGGAGCGCAGGCGGGGGAGCAAGUCAGCUGUGAAAUCUAUGGGCUUAACCCAUAAACUGCAGUUGAAACUGUUCUUCUUGAGUGAAGUAGAGGUUGGCGGAAUUCCGAGUGUAGCGGUGAAAUGCGUAGAUAUUCGGAGGAACACCGGUGGCGAAGGCGGCCAACUGGGGCUUUUACUGACGCUGAGGCUCGAAAGUGUGGGGAGCAAACAGGAUUAGAUACCCUGGUAGU